AAAUUGAAGAGUUUGAUCAUGGCUCAGAUUGAACGCUGGCGGCAGGCCUAACACAUGCAAGUCGAGCGGUAGCACAGAGAGCUUGCUCUCGGGUGACGAGCGGCGGACGGGUGAGUAAUGUCUGGGAAACUGCCUGAUGGAGGGGGAUAACUACUGGAAACGGUAGCUAAUACCGCAU
rnacentral:rRNA from 3 species